GACGAACGCUGGCGGCGUGCCUAAUACAUGCAAGUCGAACGCUUAUUUCCUCCCGAGUGCUUGCACUCAAUUGGAAAGAGGAGUGGCGGACGGGUGAGUAACACGUGGGUAACCUACCCAUCAGAGGGGGAUAACACUUGGAAACAGGUGCUAAUAUCGCAUAACAGUUUAUGCCGCAUGCAUAAGAGUGAAAGGCGCUUUCGGGUGUCGCUGAUGGAUGGACCGGCGGUGCAUUAGCUAGUUGGUGAGGUAACGGCUCACCAAGGCAACGAUGCAUAGCCGACCUGAGAGGGGGAUCGGCCACACUGGGACUGAGACACGGCCCAGACUCCUACGGGAGGCAGCAGUAGGGAAUCUUCGGCAAUGGACGAAAGUCUGACCGAGCAACGCCGCGUGAGUGAAGAAGGUUUUCGGAUCGUAAAACUCUGUUGUUAGAGAAGAACAAGGACGUUAGUAACUGAACGUCCCCUGACGGUAUCUAACCAGAAAGCCACGGCUAACUACGUG
rnacentral:rRNA from 1 species